AGCUCUCCGAGUGGUGUGGAUGUUUAUUGGGCCUAAAGCAUCCGUAGCUGGCUAAGUUAGUCCCUUGUUAAAUCCACCGAAUUAAUCGUUGGAUUGCGGGGGAUACUGCUUAGCUAGGGGACGAGAGAGGCAGACGGUAUUUCCGGGGUAGGGGUGAAAUCCUAUAAUCCCGGGAAGACCACCAGUGGCGAAGGCUGUCUGCUAGAACGCGCCCGACGGUGAGGGAUGAAAGCUGGGGGAGCGAACCG
rnacentral:rRNA from 1 species